rnacentral:rRNA from 1 species
CAAUAGCGUAUGUUAAAGUUGUUGCAGUUAAAAAGCUCGUAGUUGGAUUUCUGGUGGGAGCGAUCGGUCUGGCGCUUAGCGCGAGUACUUGCAUCGUCUCCGGCCAUCCUUGGGGAGAGUCUGUCUGGCAUUAAGUUGUCGGGCAGAGGAUCCUCAUCGUUUACUGUGAAAAAAUUAGAGUGUUCAAAGCAGGCUUAUGCCGUUGAAUAUAUUAGCAUGGAAUAAUAAGAUAGGACUUGGUACUAUUUUGUUGGUUUGCGCACCAAAGUAAUGAUUAAUAGGGACAGUUGGGGGUAUUCGUAUUCCGUUGUCAGAGGUGAAAUUCUUGGAUUUACGGAAGACGAACUACUGCGAAAGCAUUUACCAAGGAUGUUUUCAUUAA